AGGACGAACGCUGGCGGCGUGCUUAACACAUGCAAGUCGAGCGGAAAGGCCCUUCGGGGUACUCGAGCGGCGAACGGGUGAGUAACACGUGAGUAAUCUGCCCCUAGCUCUGGGAUAGCUCCGGGAAAACCGGGAUUAAUACCAGAUACGACCACUUUAGACAUCUGUUGUGGUGGAAAGAAUUUUGGCUAGGGAUGAGCUCGCGGCCUAUCAGCUUGUUGGUGAGGUAACGGCUCACCAAGGCGACGACGGGUAGCCGGCCUGAGAGGGCGACCGGCCACACUGGGACUGAGACACGGCCCAGACUCCUACGGGAGGCAGCAGUGGGGAAUAUUGCGCAAUGGGCGAAAGCCUGACGCAGCGACGCCGCGUGGGGGAUGAAGGCCUUCGGGUUGUAAACCCCUUUCAGCAGGGACGAAGCGAAGUGACGGUACCUGCAGAAGAAGCGCCGGCUAACUACGCGCCAGCAGCCGC
rnacentral:rRNA from 1 species